CAUACCUUUCUCGGCCUUUUGGCUAAGAUCAAGUGUAGUAUCUGUUCUUAUCAGUUUAAUAUCUGAUAUGUGGGCCAAUGGUCCACACGAUAUUAAAUUAAUUUUUUAAAGGGGAAGGGCCAUUAUGGUAGCUUGCUACUGGGUCCUUCAAGUGUCGCCCUUGUGUUGCACUAUUGCAUGGGCUGGCACACCCUCUAAUCUAGUUUCAUAUAUUUUUUUUAAUUUAUGAAUUUAUUUUGUCUUAUGUUAUAUAUACAUUUUCUAAUAUAAAUGAUUGAAAUUUUGUUAAGAUUAAAUGGUAUUAUAUUACAACAAUUGAUAUUAAAGAUAGACCAAAAUUAUCUAAUAAUAUAAAUCUUAUUCAAAGCAUAACUACAAUAAAAUUACUAAUUUCUAAAUUAUUCUAAUGAUAAAUAAAAUAAUUAAUACAUCUAGGUAAAAUAAUUUGAAUAUGCUUACGAAGUCAAAUAAUUAUCAAAAUCAAAGUAUUUCAAUCCAACUCAUCUAAUAUUGGUUCACAAGUGAUAAUUAAGCUUUCAAAUUUACAUUAGUAUUUGUUAAUAUUUAAUUAAAUGUAUUAUAUUUAGUUAUAUAUAAUAUAUUUAGACAUAUGCAUAUAUUAUCCCAUUUAAAAUCCUUUCAUACAUAUAUAUACAAGGUAAUACCUUGUAAUUUAGACGAUAGAAGAUAAAGAGAAGAAAUUAAACAAAUUAAAGCAAAUGGAUGUGUGAUUUGACUUGAAGUACUCUUCUCUUUAUUUACUUCUUUAGGCAAAAAGACUUUUUAAAGUUAGGACUCUUUAUUUACUUCUUUAGGCAAAAAGACUUUUUAAAGUUGGGAGAUUGUCACACUUUUUACUUUUUAAUCUCAAUAUUCAGAGAACUUUUUAUCUCCGAGUGAAGUUAAUACUCAUAUUUACCACUUACUAAAUACCAAACUUCACUUCACUAAUUUUUUAGGAGUUAAAUCUUACAUAUAUUUCAAGUUUCCUAUUCUUUACAUAUUUAAAUAAAUCUUAAUGUACAACAACACAUCAUUUACAAAAAUCAAUACUAAAGAAAUCUUUAAUCCAACAUAAAUUGUGAGAUAACAUUAUCUAAUGAUAAAUGAAGUGAUAGCACAAGUUAUAUAGCUGACUUGACCCAGUUAUACAACAUUGACCAUCAUAUUCAAUGUAAUAAGUUAAUAACUAUUUGUUCAACUCUCAUUCAAAAGUGAUGGUGUCACCAGAACAAACAACAGACCUAUAAAAAUACAUAUAUAAAUAUAUGUUGUACAGUGUAUAAGGCAUUACUAUUCCAAAGCUAUAUCAAUAGUUUUUCUGCAAGCAAAUUCUUAUAUAAUGGAAGAAGAUCAAUAUUUCAUUUUUCUAAUAUCCUAUUCAAUCAAUGUAUGAAAGUUGGUGAUGGCAAGACAGAUGCAGCACGUUAGAGUAAUAUUCCAUUUUCCUUGGUCAGACAGAGUCUAGAAGAUAAGUAGUUUUCCAAGUAAACAGCGCAGUCCAACACACCAACACUUCAAUUCUAUCUUAUACUGGCUGCCAUCUAGAACAACCCCUUUUCUUAAACCAUUACUAUUAUUUCAAAACUUCUGUCCAACAAUUUUAAAUAUUAUAAAUUUUUUUGGUAGCUUUGAAUUAGUUGAGUAAACAUGAACCUUGCAAUGCUUACUUUCAGACCAAUCCAACAAGUCAAAGGAAAAGCCCUAGUUCAAUGCAUCCAAUAGAUUGCUUUUUAAUUGCUCUAUUACUCGUACUUGCUUACGUAUAACACACAUUCAAUUCAACAAAGUCACAAGCAUAGUGUGUUGCACAGUACACGUUCACACAAUAUUACUCAUACACAUGUUCAGAAACGUCAACUAUAUCAAUCAGAACAACUGUCUCAAACUCUAAAUCUAGCAAACAAAACCAACCUUAUAAAUAUCACACACACCAUACUCUUCAAAGUCUCAUAUCUCACAUUCCAAACCUUUCUUUUCUUCUUUUCAUUUUAACCCUUUUCUCCAUUCAUCAUAUCCAUAUUCUGACACCCUUUUAAACCAGAAAACAUUAUAUAGUACUGAUAUUUGUGGCACAGUGGCGAUGAAGAGAGAAAGAGAAGUUGAUAGCGUAACCAUGGCCAACUACUUGAUGUUGCUUUCUGCAGGAGGUGAAUUUGAGAAGACAAACUACUUGAACUACUCUUCCAACCACCGUGUGUUUGAGUGCAAGACGUGUAAGAGGCAGUUUCCGUCGUUUCAAGCCUUGGGAGGGCACCGUGCGAGUCACAAGAAACCUAGGUUGAUGGGAGAGAGUGAGCAUAGCCAAGUUCUUCAUGGUUCACCACCAAAACCUAAGACUCAUGAGUGUUCAGUCUGUGGUUUGGAGUUUGCGAUAGGGCAAGCUUUGGGAGGACACAUGAGACGCCAUAGAACAUCAUCAAAUGGAAACAUGAACAAUGCUACUGCUACCACUGUUCAUAAUACUUCUUCACCAAAAAUGAACCACAAGGGUAGCAGCAACGAGAGAGUUCUGUUCCCUGAUCUGAAUUUGACGCCAUUAGAGAAUGAUUUGGAGUUUUUGAAGAUCAGACAACCAGCUCCUUUGGUUCACUGCUUCAAUUGAAUAUGUUCUUGUAGUGUAGGACACUGCUUUUUGCUCCCUUUUUUCAUUUUUAUUUUACUGUAUGUAAAUUAUAUUUGUUCAGUUCUUGGUAUAUACAUACAUACAUAUAUCUAUAAGAAAUUUGUGUUUGUGAAAACAAAGAACAAGUAUCCGCGUAAUUUGUAAAUCAAUUCUGCUAAAAUAGUUUAACUGAAGGCAUGUUUCAUCAUGGCUUAUCAUUAAGCUAAUUAAUUGUUCUGCAAGUGCUAAUCUCAGGCCUGUUAAGCUUGAUUUUUCUAUUAUGCACUUAACAACGCAGAGGUUAAUUGGUUAUUGUUGUUCCAAAACCUUAAAAACAGCUAUGUUCCUUGUCAUCUCACCAGAAAAAAGAAAA
rnacentral:lncRNA from 1 species